ACUUCAUGAUAUUCCUUUUUACAAAUAAUUUUUUUUGUUGUUUUUGAAAAAGGGUUUCUCUGUGUAGCCCUGGCUGUCCUGGAACUCAUUCUGUAGACCAGGCUGCCUGGAACUCAGAGAUCCGCCUGCCUCUGCCUCCUGUGUGCUGGGAUUAAAGGUGGGGGCCACCACUGCCAAGUUUUUCCUUUUUUUUUCUGACAAAGAAAUUUUAAACUACAUUUAUUUAUCUACACAUGCACACAUGUGAGUGUGUGUGUGUGUGUGUGUGUGUGUGUGUGUGUGUAUGUGUGUGUGUGUGUGUGUGUGUGUGUGUGUGUGUGCUUGUGUGCACGCGGUCUCAUGCAUACCAUGGUGAGUGCAUGUGGAAGUCAAACGACAGCUUGUGGGAGUCCCUUCGUUCUUUCCACAUUGUUGGUCUGAGGGAUGCAACUCAGAUCAUCAGCUUACCAGCAAGCAUCCUUAUCUACUAAGCCACCUUGAAAGCCUCAUGAUGAAACUGUAGUGAACUAAAAUUAGUGAAGUGUCUUCGUCACUGUUCUAUUGCUAAAAAGACACCUUGACCAAGGCAAUUCUUAUAAAAGAAAACAUUAGUUGGGGGUCUGCUUACAGUUUCAGAUGGUUAGUCCAUGAUCAUCAAAGCAAGAAGCAGACAGGUAUGGUACUGGAGCAGUAGCUGAGAGCUUUGCAUCAUGAUCUGCAGGCAACAUGCAGAUGCGUGCAUGUGCGCGUGCACACACACACACACACACACACACACACACACACACACACACACGGCCUUUUUUGCACUUUUGAAACCUCAAAUCCUACCUCUAGCGACACACCUCCUCAACAAGGCCAUACCUCCUCAGCAAUUCAUCAACUGGUGUGCAAGCUGCAGAAGUAUGAGCCGUGAGGUGGGAGGGUACUCUCAUUCAACCACCUCAUGAACUGUGUUUAAAUCCUUAAACAUUUCUCAGUAGCUUGUUUCAUUUUAAAUUAUGCUAAUAAUUCCAUAUUAUAAUACCAUGAUUCUCUCAACGGAGAACUUAGAAUUUGCUUUGAGUAAACAAAUUUAAUAGGUAAAAGAAAAAACAAAAAGGCUCACAUCUUUCUAAGAGAUAAAAGGCAUGAAAAAAUAAAAUCAGCACAUUUGAAAACAUUGCAAAACAAAAACACUUACAUUUGUAUGUUAUUGUCAACAUUUUAACACAGGACUUGACUCCCUCUGAAGAUCUAGAGUGCUUGUUUUCUUAUAUGCCAGAAUAAAAAUCCCGUCUCAAAGCACCGGCCAAGUGCUAGCACAUGUCCUGGUCCUGGAAACCUCCUGUGUGCUGCACGCUCCCAGGAUGCCUCUGGGAGGCAGGCCUUUCAGUGACACACAAAGGCAUGAGGAGACUCCCACCAUCUUUCCCAGCUGGAGAGGGGCAGAAAGAAGAGAAAGCCAAAGUUGCCUGACUAAACAAUGUACACAUUUUGAACAUGCUCAGCACAAAUCACUCCCGUUUCUCGAUAAAGAACCUCCCCUGAGGUGCUCUGUUAUAUUACAUACUUCAUUCAUUUCCUCAAGAUUUAUCAUAAAGCAUCAUCUGUAUUAAAUUAAUUCCUCACCAACAAUUAGCUUUGUUGUUUUAAAAAAAUGGUUGUUGACUGGGGAUGUAACUCUGUGGUAAAACAUUUGUUUAGCACUGGUGAGGCCCUGGGUUCUACCCCGAGCAUAGCAAAAUAAAAUGAAACAUAAAAAACCCUCCUAAUUUUAUGUAUUAUUUUAAAAAUAUUUUUAUUUAAUGUGCAUGCAUACAUGCAUAGAAUAUGUUUGUAUCAAAUGUGCCCCCACUCCCUCCCCUCCAAUUCUUCACUUAUCACUCACACUUUUCCCUCCCAACUUCAUAUUCUCUCUCUCCGCACAUCCACUGAGUCCAGUUAGUAUUGCCUGUACAUGCACACGUAUGGAGCCAUCCACUGGAACACAGGCAGCCUCUCAGGAACUACAUCUCUGAAGAAAACUGACUCUUCCUCCCCUAGCAGCCAUCAGUUGCCAACAGCUCCUUAGACAGGGGUGUGACUUGAUGAUCUUCUUCCCCAUCUAUGCUGAGGUUUUUAACUGGCUUGAGUUUGUGCAGCUCAUGUGCACACAGUCCUAACUGCGAUGAGCUCAUGUGUGCCCCGACAGUGUCAAAGCUCACGUGCACACACAGUCCUAACUGCGAUGGCUCAUGUGUGCCCCCGAGAGUGUCAAAGCUCACGUGCACACACAGUCCUAACUGCGAUGGCUCAUGUGUUGCCCCAACAGUGUCAAAGCUCAAGAAUACUAUUUUCUACUGACCUCUAGGUCCUCUGACUAUGGUGAUAUUUUAUUUGUGCCCUAACAAAUAAAGCUUGCCUGAAAAUCAAAAGGAAGAGCUAGCCACUAGUUAACCAUAGAGGUCUGGAGGUCUGUACAGACAGACAGGAAUAGAUAGAGCUGGUUGGAGAGAGGAAAUGAUAAGGCAGGGUGGAAAGAGGAGCUCGCUCUCUCUCGGUGGAGGAUUUCAUAGAGGUAAGAACUAGUGGCUUGCUCUCUGCCUCUCUGAUCUUUCAGCUUUUACCCCAAUAUCUGGAUCUUGAUUUUUUUAUUAAUAAGACCAGUUAGCAAUUCGUGUUACAUCUGACUCUUACAAUCUUUCGACCUCCACUUCCAAAAUUAUCCCUGAAGCUCAGGGGAAGGAGUGUGAUACAGAUGUCCCAUUUAGAGCUGAGCAUUUUAGUCUCUGCAUGUUGACCUGUUGUGAGCCUCUGUGUAGGAAGCUUCUGUGAUGAGGGUUGAUUUAUACACUAGUCUAUGGGUAUAAAGAUAAGAACUUAAGGGCCGUUUAUCACUAUGUUCUUUUAGAAUAACAGUAAUAUGUUCUCCUCUAGGGCCUAGGACCUAGCCAGCCACAGUCUUUGGCCCACUUAACUGUACAGGCAUGGGUUCUAUCUUGUGUAGCAGGCUUUAAAUCCAAUCAGAAAGCGGCUGGUUACUCCCAUAGCACUCAUGCUACCAGUGACCAUAUCUUGCCAGGUCAGUUGCUGUUGUAGCUCGCCAGGUUCACAACUGAGUAAAAUAGUUGAUUACUUUUCUGCUCUGGUAGUAAGUAUAGAACUUUCUAGCAUUGUGAAAGUUACUCAGUAGAGAUGAAGUUUCUGGGUCAGUAUGGGUUUAUUUCUCCAUGUCCUGUAGUUCAGGUAUGUAGUAUAUUCAGAAUUAGAGUCUUACUGUCAAGUUUUAGAAGGUGUUCCAGGAUAUUUGAGCAAACUGUGUAAAGAUAUGUUGCUGUUUUAUUUUGCCUGCCUAAGGCACCUGAUUGGUUUAAUAAAGAGCAGAAUGGCCAAUAUCUAGGCAGGAGAGAAUAGAUGGGACUUCUUGGGAGAGAGAGGAACUCUGGGAAGCAGAGAAGUGAGAGACACCACUGAAACGUGGAGGGACGCAGACAUACAUUACGGAGGAAAGCUGACGAGCCACAUGGCAGAAUGUAGAUUAACAGAAGCGGGUUAAUUCAAGUUAUAAGAUCUCAUUGUGAAUAAGCCUAGGCUGGAGGCCAAGCCUCUAUAAUUAAUAAGUCUCUGUGUCAUUAUUUGAGGGCUAGUGGACCCAGCAAGUCUGAUUACAUCUAGAUAGCAUGACCACACUGAGGAGAAGCCACGCCACCUGCGCCACGCAGUUACCACCUGGGUCUCUCUGUGACGACUCACAGUAGUCAGAUGCUGCUAGCAGGGACUCUGGAAAAGAGGGCAAAACAACCUCCCAGAGCUGAGACCAUUAGGUGUGGCUCCAGCUGCUGCCUACAGACCUAAGAGGACAGAGCCAGCCGCCAGCACCAUGUGCUAAGUGGAACCAUGCUGUUUAAGGUUUGGCUCACACAAUCAGAGAAGGCUGCAGACACAAAAAACCAGGUCCAGAAGAAAAACAAUCAAACAAAUAAAAACCUCUGAACAAGUACAAUAUGUUGGAAAAUGUACUUAGAUACUAAAGAAAAAAAAUAAAAUGGGUAUAAAUAGUCACAAAAAAAUUAAAAAUUAAAAAUAGUAAAGCCUUUUAAAAAAAGAGUGCCAUAAUAUAAAAAGAAUAAGCCAUGUAAAGACGGGAAAUACUCAGGGCAUCUGGAUCCUGUGUGGUGCUUUGUUGACUUUGAAUUUUUGAAUGCUGAGGAGAGAAAGACAAACUGCUGAGAGACACUGGAUUGUAGAAAAAAAUGCCAAGUUAAACCACCCUAUAUGUUUUAAGAUGUCUUAACUUUAGAAUGGAAGUCAGAAAAUGUGUUGUGUUGGGGGAGAGGUUGUGCCUUUGUUUACAGAGGAAACAAAAAGCUAUGGAUUCCUUCAAAAGUAAUGAAGAUCUGAUUUUAAUAGGGGAGACCUGAAGCUGCAGACAUGAAGGAAGAAACCAAGAAAAACCACAAGACAGGUGACAUAAAGGCUGAUCCCUCAACAUGGGAACAUCUCUGAGACUGGAUGAGAGAAGAUAAAUCUUGUUGGCCACAGAGUCCUCAUGACGUAUUAUUACAUGCCAUCCUUUUUCAUACUGUAUGGAUGGAGAUUUAUGUUAAAGUUUGGUUAUACAGUCCAAAUGGACUUAUAAAGUUGACAGAUGUCUUUUAUAUGCUCAAACAUAGAACACAGAAUCAUCUUUAGCUGAUUUGUGCAUAGUGUACGUUCCAUAUUUGUAUUAAUGCAGCUAUGUAUAUUACUUUUAAAAAUUUGUGUGUUUUUAGAACAAAAGGACCAGUCCUCAAUGAAGACAAGUAUCCCAACUGAUCCAGCCUCUCAGAAUGUCUCUGUUGCAGUUUCCUCAAAAUUCUACAUCCAGAAUAACUUCAAAGUAUCUAGUUGAGAUGGUCCAGCCUCACAGACUACUCCAGCCAGAACUUCAGUUAAGCCCUGCACUUUGCCGUCACAGAGACCGGACAACAAGUGACACAGCUAGCUCUCCCAGGAUUUGACCAUUAUCCCGAUUUCUCAGGGUCUCCUAAAGGUGCCAUAACCCACAGACAGCAGGAAGUAAUUUAAGAACAUGUUGUUCACAUUCCCAAGAGGUGGGGUGGGUGGUUUUUGGUCAUUCGGUAGGUUAUGAAUGUUUGUCAUUGUUUAGGGGGGUUGGUUGCAAGUUGUUACUGGUGAUGGUUGGAAAAAACUAAGCAAAGGAGGUUAGAUUCAGGGAUCUCUUUCUGAAAAGAAAAUGGGGGGACAUAGGAAUGGUAAGUAAACAAGAGUGUUGGCAAUAGCCUGCAACAUUUGGGAGGGUGGUCUAAGGGAUUCCACUGACCAGACCUUGAAAGAAAGUGACUCAUGCCUGGCAUUGGGUUUUUAAUUUGAGAGCCCAUGUUGUCUGGGGCAGGCAUAGUUUUCAUGCUAUAAUGUAACAUAAAUAAACCCUUUCAUAUAUGUAUGUGUGCAUAUGUAUAUAUGUAUGUGUGCAUAUGUAUAUAUGUGUAUAUGCAUGUAUAUGUGUGUGUAUGUGUGUGUGUAUAUGUGUGUAUGUAUAUGUAUAUGUGUAUACAUAUGUGUGUAUGUAUAUAUGUAUGUAUGUGUAUAUGUGUGUAGAUGUAUAUAUGUGUAUAUAUGGGUAUAUAUGUGUAUAUGUGUAUAUGUGUGCAUAUGUAUAUGUAUAUAUAUGUGUAUGUGUGUGAGUGUGUGUAUUUAGGAAGAUACUACAGUAGUGAGUUUCCAUAUGGAGUUUUAGAGCUUUGUAGUGUUAGUUAUCAUUCUCCAUGGUCCCUCCUCUUCCCUGACCUCCUAUUGAGACCUUCCUAUUCUAUUACACCCCCUUUUCUCUUCACACCAGCUGCAUUCUAUCUCCAUUUUCUUGAAAUUCCCUCAGGCCCUAAUUAGUUUCCUGUUUUCUGUGAGUAUUCCAAUUUAAACACACAUGUCUAAAAAUUCAAAGCCAACAUCCGCAUACAAGGGAAAACAUGCAGUCUUUCUGGGUCUGAGUGGCCCCACUAGGAAUGAUUAUUUAUAGCUCCAGCCAUUUACCUGAAAAUUUCAUUUUUCUUAAUAGCUGAAUAAUAAUCUAUUGUGUACAUGAACCACAUUUUUAUAAUCCAUUCAUCUGUUGAUGGCAUCCAGGCUGUUGCCAUUUUCUGGCUAUUGUGAACCUAGUAGUAAUGAACGUGAAUACACAAGUAUCUCUUUAGCACAAUAUGCCGUCCUUCGUGAAUAUGCCCAGAGUGGAAAUUCACGCUGAUUUCCACUGUGGUGGCAUCGUUUUCACUCCCAUCAGCAGUUCCUGGUCCAUUUGUUAUUGCUUGUUUUUCUAAUCGUGGCCAUUCUGACUAGGGUAAGUCAAACCUUUUCAUUUGCAUUCCCCUGAGGGCUAAGAAUGUUGAAGAAUUUAAAAAAAAAUAGUUCUUGGUCAUUUGUAUUCCUUCUUUUGAGAACUCUCUGUUCUAUGCCCAUAUUUUUAAUUAGGUUGUUUUCUUGUUAUUUAAUUUUUGCAUUCUUUGUAUAUUUUAGAUACUAACCCCUUGUUAGAUGUAUAACUGAUAAAGGUUUUCCUUGUUCUUUAGGCAGGUUCCUCUUCACUUGAAUAAUGGUGUUCUUCAAGUCCCUAUAUAGACCUUUGUUUAGACUGAUUAGUGACAAAUCCUUGAUGAUCCAUUUGUUUCCUUUAGCUACAAAGCUGUCCUGAAUAAGAGUGCACACAGAUACUUCCUGAAGGGACAUAAGACCUCAAGAAAACCCUCUGCUUUCUACUCCAGCAGUAAAUUAAGCUGAUUGUCUCCAGGUUAGCUCUGUUUUUAACAUGCAAAUUUAAUUUUACUGCCUCAUGUUUGUUUUAGAAAUUGGAAAUGCAGGCAACUUCUCUACUUCUCAGUCUUAGUUAAGAAGAAACUCUGAGACCAUUGUUCAAACAGUCAAUAAUAUAUUUUACACACAUAUAUGUGUAAGAUUUGGCCUCAAGAGUAAAUCUUCAUUGAAUUUUCCCUUAAUAAUCCCAUUUAAUAACUAAGGAGGCAAUGUCCAUAUGACCAAAGACAAGUCUUAUCAGGGACUUUGUGGAACACGACAGGACAAUGUAGAGUUUGAAUUGCCUUUGGUCUGCACCAUGGUUAAUUUUAUGCAUCAAUUUGCCUAGGUAAUGGUGUCCAUAUAUUUGGUCAAACAUUAAUCUCAGUAUUUCUGUGUAGGUACCUUUUUUUUUAAAGGAGAUUAACAUUUAAACUGAUGGAAUUUGAGUAAAGAAGAUUACCUUUCUAGUUAUGGGUGGGUCUCAUCCAACCAAUUGAAGAUCUAAAUGUCUAAAGAUUAAUCUCCCCCAAGCAAGAAGGAAUCCUAUCAGCAAACUGCUGUGGUGAUAUUUUGAACAAAUAAAAUUUGCUUGGAGAUCAGAGGACAGAACAAGCCACUAGAUUAAACAUAGAGGCCAGGCAGUGGUGGCACACAACUUUAAUCCUAGCACUCAGGAGGCAGAGGCAGAGAUCCAUCUUGAUCUCUGUGAGUUCAAGGCCAGGUUGGGCUACACAAGAUAAUCCAGUCUAAAAGAGAAACAGAGCCAGGCAGUGGUGUCACAUACCUUUAAUCCCAGCACUUGGGAUCACACACCUUUAAUCCCAGCACUUGGGAUCACACACCUUUAAUCCCAGCACUUGGGAUCACACACCUUUAAUCCCAGCACUAGGAAGGUUGAGACAGGAAGUGAUAUGGCUGGGCAGAGAAAGGAAUAUAAGGUGGGAGGAGACAGGACUAUCUCAGACUGAGGAGUUGGUGAGGUAAGACGUGGUGGCUGUGGCUUGCUCUGCUUCUCUGAUAUCUGGCUCUGGGUUUUUAUUAUAAGAUCAUUUAGGAUUCAUACAACAAACUGCCUUUGAGGUCAAAGCUUACCAGCUGUGGUAGUUUAAAUGAAAAUGACCCCCAUAGGCUCAUAGGGAGUGGUACUAUUAGGAGGUGUGGCCUUGUUGAAGGAAAUGUGUCACUGGGAUGGGCUUUGAGGUUUGAGAAGCUCAAGCCAGGCUCAGCGGCUCACUCACUCUCCCUGCUGCCUGCAGACCCAGACGUAGAGCUCUCAGCCCCUCUCCAGCCCCAUGUCUGCCUGUGUGCCCCGAUGCUUCCCACCAUGCUACUCUAUUGGCUUUGAAUUCGUCAAGUCUUCCCAGUUUCAUGGACCAAUUUCUUUAAACAAUCUUUUUCUCUCCCUCAUACACCUAGUUCUCUUUACUGGAAGCCCCCUGAUUGUAUCAGUUCAUGACAAAGUCAACCAGCUGACCUCUGGACUGACCUCUGGGAACUCUUUAGGAAAGGAAACCAGGCUGAAAAGUUCCCUGUCUCAUUUAGCUCCUUCUGAGAUCUACAUCAACUGAAUUCACUGGAAGCCCAGGCCAGAGCAGGUACAGAGAGGAGUCCUACAAAUCUAGACUCCUAGCAUGCAAAGCAAGGUAGAGCAGAGUAAGAGGAUGAGAGGGGAAGAAAACAUGGACCCUCAAAGAAAACCUGAUCACUAUUAAGACUUCACUAUGGUGGUCACCUCUAGAAGGAUGGGAUGGUCCAUUUAGGAGGGAUGUGGACAGUGGAAUUAUUUCCUUGAUGUGAAUGAUGGGCACAAUAAUUAUUCAUUAUUCUGAUCAUACUUUCCCCCUCUACCAACUUUCCCCAGAUCCUUCCCACCUCCCUAUCCACCCAACUCCACACCGUUUCCCUCCCUCUAAAAAAAGCAAACAAAUAUAAGACAACAACAACAAAAACAAGAAGUACAGACACAAAACCAUAACAAAAGAAACAGAAACAAAAAUAAACAAGCCAAAGACCAACAAGACGAAAAAUCUCCGAACAAAGCAAAAUGAGACAGAAAAACUCAAAGUACCGUUAAGUUAGUUUGGUGUUAGUCAACUACUUCGAGGCCUGGAGCAUGACCUGAAGUGUGAUUAAUACAGCAUGUGACUUCCUUUGCCAGGAGGUAUCACUUGCAGAUAGCUUCUUGGUUAGGGGUGGGAGCCAGUGUCUACUUCUCCCUCUCGGCACUGGGACCCCAUCUAGCUUGAACCUUUGUGGUUCUUGUGCAUGCUGUCACAGUCUCUGAGUUUACAAGUGCAACAGUCCUGUUGUGUCUAGAGGGACACUGUUUCCUUGAGAUUCCUGCUCAAAGAACCACAGCACCUCCUGAAACUGUUACCCUGAGGCCAACCUUUUCCGUACAGACCUUCAGGGGAUUUUCACCUAACCUACAGUAGGAUUCAUACUGCAUUUUGACUAUAGGAGGAGGAAAAGGGUAUGUGUGGCUGUGUAUAAAUUUGCUGGCUUGGUGGUAAGAAGCAGAGGGGAAUCCUUUGUAAACCAAUGCUUACUUUUUCUCUGUAACAUGGAAUAUGAGAAUGAAUAAAGAAAUGUCAAAGUUAAAGAUGGAAAAAGGAGAAAGUCUGUACCACAUCUGAGAGCCAAAGGUUAACUUGGAUUACCAGAUUAAUACUAUAUGACACUGAAGUUAAGGGACCAUGAACUUACAUGCCAUCAACGCACACAAAUUAUGACUUUCUACACAGUGAUGUUUGAAUGAGAAUGGUCCUGUAGGCUCAUAUGUUUGAAUGCUUGGUCCCCAGUUGUUGGAUCUGUUUAGGAAGGAUUAGGGGGUGUGGCUUUGUUGGAGAAGGUAUGUCAUUGGAGGUGGGCUUUGAGUUUCAAAAGCCUAGGCCAUUCCCAGUUCCUCUGUCUCUCUCUUUCUCUCUCUCGUGUUUGUGGAUCAGAUGUGAGCUCUCAGCUACCACUCCAGAGCUGUGCCUGCCUGCCAGCCAUGCUCCUUGUUGUGACAGGCAUGGAUUCCAACCCUCUGGAACUUUAAGCAAACCCUCAAUAAACUCUUUAUAAAUUACUUUGGUCAUGAGAUCUUAUCACAGCAAUAGAAAAGUAACGAAGACAUACAGUGAUGCUUCAUAAUCCAGAUAUGAAAAGUCAGAUACCUACAUGGAUCCAGUUUUAGAAUAGAAUGGGAGGGAGAGAGGGAAGAAAGGAGGGAGAGAAAGAAAUAAAGAGAGACUAUGAGGAUGUGAUAAAUGGUACAUAAAGAAAGAAAUAAAAACAAAAGACUAGCUAAGAUGGGGAGAAAAGAAAGAUCCAGAGUUCAGACAUCUUGUGAGAAUGUGAGCAGGUAGUAUGUGAGUGAUGAAUACAGAUGGCUGGAGGCUGCUCAUCCAGGGUGUCUUGGGUUUUUAUUUCUGUGAAGAGACAUAACUGACCAUGGUAACUCAUACAAAGGAAACAUUUAAUUGUGUUGGCUCACAUACAGUUCAGAGGUUCAGUCCAUCAUGGUGGGGAGCAUGACGGCAUGCAGGCAGGCAUGGUGCUGGAGAAAUAGCCGAGUGUCAUACAUCUUGCAGGCAACAGGAAGUUGACUGACACACUGAGCAGUAUCCUGAGUAUAUGAAACCUCAAAGCCCCCCCACACACACACACAGUGACACACUUCCUCCAACAAGGCCAUAUCCAUUCCAACAAAGCCACACCCCCUAAUAGUGCCACGCCCUAUGAGAUUAUGGGAUUAUGGACUAAUUACAUUCAAACCACCACACAGGGUAUCAAUUAUUUGAAUGUGUUGUCUUAGAUAUCCAUACAGAGAAUGAUCCUCCAUAGUUGUGCUUUUGGUUUUGAAUGAGUUAAUUUGUUAAGGAUAUAGCAAGCAAGAGUCCAAGAAUAAAACAGCAAACAGACACUUACAUCAUCCUACAAAAGUGGCCUGGAGAAACUGAAAAUAAAACCACCAGCUAGAGCCUCUGAUGCACAGAGAGAUUCCCAGGCAGAAGUCUUCCAGGUGAGACUUGCAAUGUGCCAUUCCCACCACAUUUAUUUUAUGUCACGAGAUAGCAGUAGCUGAGGCUUUCACUUUGGGAAGAAGCCUUCAAAUCACUUACCUCCUAGCUGUGCUCAAGGACACAAUGCUUUUACUCAAAUGUAAUUCGAAAACUCAAUCCACUCCCUCUGAUCUCAAGGAAAUAGUGUGUUCAUGUCUGUGUUAUUUUCAGCUCUCCUUUUUCCUUUUCACAGGCAAAGGGAUGGUGGUGCAUUCAGCCCAUCCCCAUCAGGGGAGCUUGGAGGAUAUUUUAAGGUCUUGAAUCUGAAGGUAGCGGGUAGGCAACCCCAUCUCUACAGACAGCUUCUUCGUUUAAACAGAGCAUGACAACUUACUAAUACAAUGUGUAUUACAGAUGUGGAGUUGUUGCAGAUGGUGACAAAGUUUCAGGUCUGGCUAUGUGUAGAUAAAGUAGAAUGGUGGUGAAGGUCACCAAAAAUAAAGAGGCUCAGGUAUGGAAAGGGAAUUCAAGUGGUCAGGGAGAUCAUUGAGACUUCGGACACAUCUGUGUUUGAGGGAAAGAGUGAGAGGCAGAUACGGGGCAUUUAAGGAAUGCUGGGUGGUAAAAGGACUGAUGGGGAACGGCUAACCGAGGGCAGUAGGAGAGAGGAGGAAGUGUAUGCAGAUGCCUCUCUUGGAUUUCAGGAGAACAGAAGAAGAAAGGUCUGAUUUCUCCAUCUGGCCUAAACAAAAUUCAAGAAGGAAGACUGGAAAAGAUUGGCAACAAGCCAAAGCCUGGGUCAACCUAGCUGACCAGAGUAAGAUACGAAGGGGAAGUUGCAUGUUGUACUAGUGAUGUGAGAAACUGGGGCAUGCUAGCUUCAACUGGCUCGACUUUUCACAAAUUUGCAUUAGUAACACCUUGAUAUUAGGUAAUGGGCAAUAUUUGGUGACCUAUCUGCCCAGCUUCACUGAAGAAGAUCCUAAAAGAUUCUCAAUGUUUAUGUUCCUCCUUGAUAGAAGAAUCUGAUAGCAGGAAACACAAAUGCCUUGCACGUACCUGUUCAGAGAGGCAUGGGAUUCCUAGAAAGAACCAGAGUGGGUUUGUGCCCAUGACUACUGGAUGAUCCUCUUGUAUAAUGCUGUCAGGAAGCUAGUUUACCAGUCUUUGCAAAAUGGCUCAAGCUGACAUCAGAAGAGACAACUUCAGAACAUGGGUCAAGGCAAAAAUUGGCUUAAGGCAAUUUGCUCUGAAAAAAUAGUGUUUCUAUUACAGUUCAGUGAUGCCACAAAUGCAGUUAAGAUGUUCAAAAUAUCCCCCGAAUCAAACUGACAGGCACCCUAGGUGCUUAACUAAUGUUUACUGACGUGAAGACAGUAACAGGGGAAGAAAAACGUUGGGUGCGUAGAGUUGUUAGUCCCUCUGAUGGUUCGAGCGGGAUUGCAGAGUGCAUAGUGUCCUGUUGAUGCCCUAGUGGGAGCCAUGUGGGGCAUCUUUACAGAAGUAAAGUUUGUGGACUUGCAAUGCUGAGGAAUGAGCUUUGGAAAAUGUGAGCUAAGUGAGGCAAUGUCAUCCUGCCAUCCUGUCAGGCCAGCUGGCCUCUCCCCAUGACAUUUCUAGCCUGAUUGUUUAGAACAGCAAUUUCAUUUAAAUCACUUUGAUUUUCUUCAAUAAAAAUUCUGGAAGCCAUGAAAGGGAUUUGUAGCAAAAUAUUGUUGUAAUCAGAGUAAUAUAAAAGAACUGAGUAAUGUAUUAGGGCAUAGCCAUUAAUAAAAUAAACUGACCUGGAAAUGCCUCCUAACCCCAGAGUCUAGCAUGCAGUUACUCUACAACAGAAGUUCUCAACCUGUGGGUCAAGACCCCUUUGGAGUCACACAUCAAAUAUCCUACAUAUCAGAUAUUUACAUUAUGAUUCAUAACAGUAGCAAAAUUACAGUUAUGAAGUAGCAGCUAAAUAAUUUAAUGGUUGGGGGUCACCACCAUAUGAGGAGCUGUGUCAGAGGGAUGAAAACCACUGCUCCAGAGAAUCUCUAGCAGUUGGGAUGGUUGUAAAGCUACAGCUAGUGAAGACGGAAAUGCUCACUGACACAGCAGGAAGCAAAGUAAACUCGGCUUAAAAAACUGUUGGCUUUUUUAAGUCAUGCUUUGUUGUUCUUGUGUUGUACCAGGGUUAUAUAUUUCUGCACGUCUUACUUCUCAGCAUAGGCUUUCUGCAGUUCUAAAGUUAGGUUUAAUCGUCUGUGAAAACAUAUUCCCCUCAACAUGAUGAAUAUUCUAAUAACAAUUACCCAUGAUUAUUUUGAUGCAGUUCAUUCACCCACAAGCAGUUAGCUUCUUGUUAGCCAGUUCAACAGAAAUACCAUUUCUUGCUAGAUUUCACCUGAUGCAAAAGAGUUUUGACCCCUCAGAAUUCAAUAGAUCUCCUUACAAUGAAAUUUGCCAAAUUUCAUAAUAGCAAACCAAAGUACAUGAAACAUACACACAGCAAACACAACAUCUUUAAAUGCACCUGUUGGUGAUCUAAUGCUUCCUUUAUUUAGUUGUUUGUUUGUAUGAGAUAGGAUCUUAAUAUGCAGCUAUGGCUGUCCUGCAACUCCCUAUGUAGACGAUACUGGCCUAGAACUCACAGAGAUCCAUCUGUCUCUGCCUCCCUCAUGCUGAGAAGAUGUGUUUGUUUUGAUUUGAUGUGUAUGAGUGUUUGCUUAUGAGUAUGUAUGUGCACCACUUGUGUGCCUGGUGCCCACAGAGGCCAGAAGACUUCAGUUCCCCUGUAUCCUUGGAGUUACAGGUGAUUGUGAGUCACCACGUAGGUGCUGGAAACUGAACCUGGGUCCUCCCCAAGAGCAGCCAGUGCUCUUAACCUUUGAGCCAUCUCUCCAGUCCCAUUUUUACAUAAGUCAGUAAGGAUGUUCUAUGACUCAAAGGCAAAAAACUCAAGGAGACUUGAAAUACGUUUAUGCUUGCAGCUUCUGCUGUAGCCUGGGUAGAAGUUCAGGAGUGGAGUGCUGGAGAAUUUAUUCAGGCAUCUGGUUGAAGAUGCUUCCAAGGAAAAGUCUCAAAAUCUUUGCUUGCUGAUGGGAUUAGUCUAGAAGCACUUUCUUUGGUUUUCCAUAUUUACCACUUCACAGAAAAAGGUCUCUUAUCUUUCAACACAGAUUGAAUCCUGAUCCUAAAACAGGCAGGAACUUACAUAACACAAGAAUGUCUUGAAGGAGAACCUCUAAUAAGCCCUUCCUUAGCAGAAACAACAGCGACUCUGUGGUACCUGAAAUGUUUCCUGUUGAGGAGGGGAUAUGGAUCCGGCUACCUCAGAGAAAAAAACUUAGCUGGGGAAAAAAAUUACCCAAAUCCAGAUGUUUUAAUUCAAUGAGAGAAUAUCAAUGAAAGUUAAUACCAGAAUUCAGGAUUAAUGUUUAAAAUUAAAAUUAGCAUUUAUUUUCUAAAAUUUUUUAACUCUUAUUUUUAUUUUAUGUGUAUGGGUCUUUUGUCUACAUGUACGUCCACACUUCUUGUGCAUGCAGUGCCCAUCAAGGCCAGAGGUCAGCAGAUCUCCCCUUCUCCCUGUAAAUUGGAGCCAGCUGUUGGAUGCCAUGUGGGUACAGGGACUUGAACCUGGUUUGUCUGGUAGAGCGACCAGUGCUCUUAAUCACUGAGCCAUAUCUCCAGCCCCCAAUGUUUACAAUUUUUAAUGGAGCUUUGAAGAGGAAAAGAAAGCCAGUAUCACUAAAAACAUGCCCGAAGGGAUCAUCAAAGGCAACAAACAAUAAGAGGAUGCAGAAAGCACGUGUCAUUAAGAUAUGCUACGGGUUAUUUUGUUUUGCUUUUAUUUUCUUCUUCUUUUUGGAUACAGACUCUGUUGUAGCCCGGUCUGGUCUUGGUUUCCCUAUGUUGCCAAGACUGUCCUUGAACUCCUGAACCCUUAUGAAGCCUGGCUAAGAUAAGUUAAAAGUUUGAAAUGCCUUGGCCAAUUUAAUAUUUAAUGGCACCAACUGGAGUCUCAGAAAGAGAGAUGUUUCUAUUGCUAGUCACUGUAAAAUACAGUUCUAACUGCAGGCAGGAUUAUAGGCUCAGAAGGGCUGUCGUGGCAGAGGGGUCAGGUGACCUGGGUUGUGACGAUUUUGAAUGAGAGGAAAAGAACAGUUCAAAGCACGCCUGUGAAGUCUUCUAGCUGGGGUAAUGCCCAGGGACUGCCAUCGUGGAGAUUAGAGUUCCUGCAACAGCAAGCUGGGGGUGGGGGUGGGGGAUGCCAGGCUGCGGCCGGCACCAGGAGAGCCUGCCAUUUGAAUUUCAAAAUGGUUAGUGGUUGCAGUGACAGCCAGAGUGCGGUGGGGAUAAAAAACAUCUAUUGUAGUGCAUUAGAGUUCUCCAAAAAAACGUUUUAUAUCAUUUAAAGAUAGUGUGUCAUGUUUCUGCAUGAGUACAAGUCAAAAACUUCACAAAAAUAUAGUGAAUAAAUGAACCGCAUCAUUGGGGCCUGAUAGCCAUACCUGUGCUUACAACAUUGGAAAUUAUAUUCUAUAGUAGAAAGGGGUUUCCAGCUUUUCAAUAGUAAAUAACAGAGCUGGAAUCCUAAAGGCCAUACAACCAGAUUUCUAAAUAACAGAGCCGGGAUCUUAGAGGCCACACGACCAGACCUCUUUGAAGUUCAACACUUUGAAAAAUGCUAGGAGUCCUAAUUCAAAGGAACAUAUGUUCUAUUACUUAUUCAACAUUUUUAACUAAAAUAGAGCAGUUCUUUGAAAGCCCGUUAUCUAUCUACAUUUAACACAGUGGCUAGUUGUGUUUUUCAACUAGAGAGAGGCACAACUUUGCCAGAUCUUUUCUGAAUUGGGGGGGAUGUGUGACUGGAUGUGCGUGUGACAAGAACCUGCGUUCUCCUGUGGCUUCUACAAACAGCACAGUUGAAGGUGGAAAUCUUGCCAUUUGGAAGAAACCCACACAGCUGAAACAAAAUGCAGCUGUAGGCCUCCACUGGAGGAUCACUCGAAAUCAAAUGAGUAAGACUGUUGGAGAAUAUUAUCUCAAGGCGUCUUACUUUCGUUUAUGCAGAAUUCCACCUCAACCUUUGAUUCUUGAGUUCUUUAGAGGGAGAGAGGUUUAGUUAAGUUCCCUUCGUAGCUUUGCAAGGGUUGGAGCUGGCAGGGUUGCAGUUGCUGAUUCAGACAACUGUGGCUUAAAAGGCAGCAGCCAUUUCAAAAAAGGACAAGAAAAGCCAGUGUUCCUUUUGCCUAACCAAAAAGUUUCAACCAGAUGUCUGGCCUUGGCAAAAGAAUUUACUGUUUCCAGUGAACUACUUGCAAGAUCUUAUUGGCUGAGUGGCUAAUCUCAUGAUUUUGUACAUAAUUUUACAAAUCUUAUCUCUCAUUAGAUUAGUUAAAACAAUAUGAAUACAGUUUGCCCCUGAAGGCUGAAAUUCUAGGCAAGGGCUGCGGUUUACCUGUGUUAGCCCCCCACCUCCCUUUCUUAAGGUUUCUCUGCUUUUUUCAUCUUAAAGCUAGCCAAAGUCCUCUGUUCGGCUUCCGGGAGGGCGGAGCUUCAUUGUGUGUCCUUUGGAGGUUGCCUCUGGAGCACAGUUGAAGGCAUCAGCUGGUUUAUUUAUUAUACAGUGUUCUGUCUCCACAUAUCCCUGCAGGCCAGAAGAGGGCGCCAGAUCUCAUUACAGAUGGUUUUCAGCCACCAUGUGGUUGCUGGGAAUUGAACUCAGGACCUUUGGAAGAGCAAGCAGUGCUCUUAACCUCUGAGCCAUCUCUCCAGCCCCAGAAUAUAUCUCUUUAAAAUGUAAUGCUUAAUAAAGUCUUCUAGGCAGAACAACUGAA